rnacentral:rRNA from 1 species
AUUUUCGGCCAUGGGCGCAAGCCUCACCGAGCAACGCCGCGUGAGUGAUGACGGCCUACGGGUAGUACCACUCUUUUGUAGUGGAAGAAUAGGCUGUAGAGGAAAUGCUAUAGUUCUGACGGUACCCUACCCGACAGCCACGGCUAACGAUGUGCCAGCAGCCGCGGCAAUACGUAUGUGGCUAGCGUUAUCCGGAAUUAUUAGGCUUAAAGGGUGAGUAGGCGGCUUAUUAAGGCUGUGGUUAAAGUGCGGGGCUCAACCCCGUAUUGCCUUAGAAACUGGUAAGCUAGAGUGAAGGAGAGGGCAGUGGAAUUCCAUGUGUAGCGGUAAAAUGCGUAGAUAUAUGGAGGAACACCGGUGGCGAAGGCGGCUGCCUGGCCUUUAACUGACGCUGAGGCACGAAAGCGUGGGGAGCAAACAG